UACAGAGGUCCCAAGCGUUGUUCGGAUUCAUUGGGCAUAAAGGGUGCGUAGGUGGCGCCGUAAGUCGGGUGUGAAAUUUCGGAGCUUAACUCCGAAACUGCAUUCGAUACUGCCGUGCUUGAGGACUGGAGAGGAGACUGGAAUUUACGGUGUAGCGGUGAAAUGCGUAGAUAUCGUAAGGAAGACCAGUGGCGAAGGCGGGUCUCUGGACAGUUCCUGACGCUGAGGCACGAAGGUCAGGGGAGCAAACGGG
rnacentral:rRNA from 1 species